rnacentral:piRNA from 1 species
UAAUAACUGAACUAUGAUGGGUGG